rnacentral:rRNA from 1 species
GAUGAACGCUAGCGGCAGGCCUAAUACAUGCAAGUCGUACGGCAACACAGUUGCGAGCAAUCGCAACCGGUGGCGAGUGGCGCACGGGUGAGUAACGCGUAUGUAACCUACCCUUCUCCGGGACAUAACUCCGCGAAAGCGGUGCUAAUAUCCCAUACCAACUCAUCAAGACAUCUUCUUGAGUUGAAAGCAGCAAUGCGGUGAAGGAUGGGCAUGCGUCCCAUUAGCUGGUUGGUGAGGUAAUGGCCCACCAAGGCUACGAUGGGUAGGGGUUCUGAGAGGAAAGCCCCCCACACUGGUACUGAGACACGGACCAGACUCCUACGGGAGGCAGCAGUAAGGAAUAUUGGGCAAUGGUCGGAAGACUGACCCAGCCAUGCCGCGUGCAGGAUGAAGGCCCUAUGGGUUGUAAACUGCUUUUAGCCGGGAAUAAACACCCGUUUUAUAACGGGCCCGAAGGUACCGGCUGAAUAAGCAUCGGCUAACUCCGUGCCAGCA